UACGUAGGGUGCGAGCGUUAAUCGGAAUUACUGGGCGUAAAGCGUGCGCAGGCGGUUUUGUAAGCCAGAUGUGAAAUCCCCGGGCUUAACCUGGGAAUGGCAUUUGGGACUGCAAGGCUGGAGUGUGGCAGAGGAGACUGGAAUUCCUGGUGUAGCAGUGAAAUGCGUAGAUAUCUGGAGGAAUACCGGUGGCGAAGGCGGCAUCCUGGACCGGCAUUGACGCUGAUGAGCGAAAGCUAGGGGAGCAAACGGG
rnacentral:rRNA from 1 species